GGGGACGAGGUUUUGGAGGAAAUCCUCCACAUCAGCUGUGCCCACAGGACCACUGGUGCUUGGCACUGGCAACUCAGGGACAUGUAAAUAAAACGGUGCCCUGUGUCUGACUGUGCUGGGCCUUUGUACUUAAAACCCGAGGCGCUGAUGCUCGUGCCCUGAGGGUUGAGAAAGGCCACUGGCACCUCUCAUUUCUGACCUGAGUACCGUCAAGGGGGCCUGUGGCUUCUCUCUGGCUGUCCCAUCUAGCGUGCGUCUGUGAUACGGAGUUCAGUGGGCGGGUCAAGAGACAUCACUGCAAAAAACAAAGGAGCAGAAAGCUGACGGCCGCUUAAUGCUUGCUGGUGGGAAAAGAGUGAUGGGCGCUAUUUUUUCUUGGGCUGGGAAGGUCACGCGGGUUAGCAGACAUGCUGGCACUAAAACUCGCUCCUGCCAAGUACCUCAGUUGAGAUGGGCAGAUUAACCGAUCAGUAUUGACGGACCUUUGGAAAGGAGAUGCGAGAGUGUUCUCUUUGUAUUUUAGUGUGAAUACCAGGGGUCUGCAUCUUGGCAUAGGGGUAGACUUGGAAUUUUUCAAAAAAUUCAAACUCCAAACUGUUAUUUUAUUCUAUUUCAUUCCAUUCUGUUUUAUGCCAUUUUACCCACUAUCAUGUUCCCAAAAGGACCGAAGUUGGCUGUCAAGGUUAUGUAAUAUAGGGCAAGAUAGAAAAAUGUGAACUUAAUGGCAGACAUAAAAGGGAAACAAGGGUGAAGACCCAGAAAGGGUCCAGGAAUGAGAUGGAUUUUAUAAUGAAAAUUCUACCACUCUUUAUCUACGCUUGCUUUGCCGAGCUCUAAACAGGGCUUUGAGCUUCCAGGAGGGCAUUGUGAAAAGGGAAACCCCAUCCCAGGGGUUAUCCAACAAACCUGUUGAUCAGGAUAAGCAAAACUCUGGCUGAUGCUGAAAGCUGAGGGGAUUUCCUGUGAGCCCUUUGCGGAGAAGACCCAGGGUGGUGAAGAACGGCCCCCGAGAAAAAUCCUCCCCGAGAGCCUCACAUUGCAUUUAAUAGCGCUGUCUACAGUGGUGAUGCUCAGCCUUGCCUCUCCUCAAAGCACAGUUCAGAGGGGUGUGUUAUAGCCCAGGGGCCAGCUCUGCCACUCCUGCUAAGUGACUUGGGCUGGUUUAACACAGGGAUUCUAUUCUAGUCCCAGAGCUGAAACUAUUGGGGCUUGGUGAUCUGUCACACAUUUUAUUUUUUUAAGAUGACAUGCUCUUGUUUGAACUUCAGAAGUUAUGGCUUCUGACUGGAGAGGAGUUCGCAGGAGGUACUGGGCUGGGAGCCCAUGAAACCAGGCCACGUGGUCAGGUCCAUGGAGGUCAGGGCCACAUGGCUCCAGUGCAUUGCUGUGACUCCCGUGUGUGGUCUGGCAGGUGGCACACAGUAGGUGUUCAUAGUUAGUGUUUGAAUGAAUGCGUGGGGACGGGGCUUGAAUAAACAACUCUUCAAAGCAAGGAAUUAAUUAAUCCAGGUACAUUAAGACAGUCAGAGUGAACAUGGGCUGAACUUUCUUCCUUUUCCAUCAUUUGAAGGAUCUGAAUAAAGGGACAGUGACUUAAACUUAGGAAGGAUUGUAUCUCAGAUAAGAAUCUAGUCUCAUCUCUCCCCUCAUUUUUAUAUAUUAUAUAACUUAUGUAUUUGGGGUGACGUCUCAUCUCCACCCACUCUGGUUUCAUCAUCAUCUAAGCAUCCAAGAGUAGUUUCCUGACUUGGUGGUCCUGGUUACCCCCUUCUCAGCCUCUGACCCCUCAGAAUGGCCUGGGGCUCAGCCCGCUUUUCGGUUUGCCCUAAGACAGCCUAAAUCAGGAGCAACCUCUGACUUUCCUGAUCCUCCAGAACUUUGAAACUAACCAGGGAAAUGGGAUUUGAGUUUCUUCCCAGAGCUGUUCUUUCUAGCCCUGCUCCCUGCCCUCCUUCUCCGUCCUUCCUACAAAGAAUUUAAAUGCUUUGAGAACCAACGUACAUACAUUUACUUGGCCCUGGGAAGAAGGGGCACAUCUGGGCUCCAGAUGUUUCCCAGCCCUGGAGAGUGGUAGCGGGUCCCGGGCGGUUGUGACGGAGCUCAGGCUAAAUAGCGCUUAGCCCUGCAUAAAGGCUCCCUUCACAUUCCUCCAUGGCCUUUUCCAAGAUCUUUUUCUGGAUCUAGGACGCCUCUUGAGGAGCCACCCAAGGUCUCCGUCCCCAGAGACAUCACAAACGCAACACUGUUAGGACCCAAGUGUAGGGGGGCUCAAGAGCCCUGUGACCUGGGAUUGACCAGCUCAGCUCUGUGAUCUCUGAUGAGUUACUUGCCCUCUCUGUGUUUCAGUAUUCACAUCUCUAAAAGGGAGCUGAUGGUCUCCACCUUAUAGAGUGAGAACCAUAGAGUAAACGCAUACAAAAUGAUUAGGACAGUGCCUGGCACAUACUCAGCACAAAGUAGGUGUUUCUUGUUGUUAUUUCUAAUUUCCUCCCUCUCUGAAGGCCACUGAAGAAUUAGAAGUUGGUCCACGUCCUUUAAUUGGUCAUUAUCAUUUCACCUUAGCCCUGCAGAGCAGUCUUUUUCCCUAAUCUCUCCUCAGGGCAUGAUAAUGACGGCUGUGAUCGUACUGAAAUUUAUUGAGUACUUCCUCUGUGCCAGGCAUCGUGAUAUAAGUAUCUUGUUUAGACUUGACCUAUAUAGUUUAUGUGAGAGCCUAUGGCUUGGCUCAGUGCCUGACACAGAGUUUAAUGUAUACAAUAAUUCUUUGACACUAUUAUUAGUUCAGGUUCUCAGCUGAGGAAGAGAAGGUUGGUUGAAGAAGUGAGGAAGCCAGUGGCAUCCAGGACUUGAUCUAAGACAGUCAAUCCCAGACCCCGUGUUCUCAACAUUUAUGCAGAGGGUGGUCCUUAGGUAAGAGGCUACUGGCGCGGGACACAGGCCGAGCAUGUGAUGCCAAAUGCUAUAGGAACCUGGGGUAGGAACAGGCUGUGUCUACCUCCAGAGGAGGUAGCCUUAAAUGCUGGAUGGAAAUAAGAAUUCCAGGUGGAAGAAGCAGCAUGGACAAAGAUAUAAAGGUAAAAACCCCAGGAAAUGUUGAAGCAGAAAUAGUAAGCUAGAGUUUAGGCAGGUGGAAAGCUACAACAGGACCUGAUUGUGAGGGGCAUCCGGUGACAAAAAAGUAUUAGCCUCUAAGAAAUAGGGAGCCAUGGAGUGAGUGCUUUUCAGCAGAGGAGAGCAUGCCCAGAGCUGUGCUCUAGGGCGAUAAACCUGGAAGAGAAUUGUCAGGUGGAAUGAAAGGUGGAGAGAACAGACACUGGGAGACCACUGCCACGGCAUAUGGAGGUUCUCAAGCUAGGGGUCAAAUCAGAGCUGUAGCCACCAGCCUACACCACAGCCACAGCAAUGCAGGAUCAGAGCCAUGUCUGCAACCUACACCACAGCCCACGGCAACACUGGAUCCUUAACCCACUGAGCGAGGCCAGGGAUCAAACCUGCAUCCUCAUAGAUGCAAGUCAGAUUCAUGACUUGUCCAAAGUCACACAUCUAAUUAACUAGUAGAGCCCCAAAUCCAGCCAGGUCUUUGGACUCUAAAUUCUGUGUUUAUUCUGUUGUAUCAGACAAAGUCAUGGCUGCGCCUGUUAGAAGGUCUGAAAGGGUUAAGUCCCAUGAACUGUGAAGGGUCAUGGCUCUUGCUAUAAGGGGUCUGAGGAGUAUCUGACAUCAUAAACAGAAUGAUAUGUGUGUUGGGAGGGGGGUGUCCUGGGAAUGUGCACACAGGUGGCAUUUGACUUGGGAUAUGGUCCCCUGCAUCACUUUCCUAGAGGAAUCCAUGACCACAAAAACAGUGAUGAACCACUGGGAUGCAGCAGGGAUCACACCCAAAGACAAAGCCCAGGAUGCUGCAUGAUCCAUUCCUGGAAUCCAAAGGCAAGGAUAAGGAGAAGAGAGUAGGAUGGAUGGAUAGAUGGAUAGGUUUUAAAGGGAAGAAGGAAGGUUAGAGGUUUGGGUACCAAGAGGUGUCCUCUGGGUUAUCAGCAUCCUUUAGGCGGUGAUGUUCUAGGGGCAACUUUGCCUCCCAGGGGACAUGUGGCAAUGUCUGAAGAGGAGUUUGGGCUAUUGGUAUGUCAUGUUUAGAGACCUGAGAUGAUGUUGAACAUCCUAAAAUGCACAGAACAGCUCCCAAUAACAAAGAAUCAUCCAACCCAUAGUCAGUAGUGCUGGGGAUGAGAAUCCCUGCUUUAGAGAAAAAGGAAGCCUUGCCUUAUAACUAUUCACAAGGGCUCAGCAGGACCCCUGAGUUCACACCUUCUGCUAUUAGCUUCCAGAAAAGGCCGAGGACUCCUUGACCGCCUAUGGCGUGACUGACUUAUGUAAGAUGCAGGUACCUGGAAGGCUCUGUGAUGUCCAUUAACCCCAUAAAAACGGGACCAUGCAGGACCCAGGCCUGACCCUGCCCAGUGUCCCCAUGGCCUGGUUCCCUCUGGACACCAGGUCACAUCUCCCCCAAUCAUUAGGAAUUCGGGACUUGAGGCAAUGGUGGCGGCCCUCUGCACAGAUGCACAGUGCAGAGCUGGAGGAGAGCUGGGAGGUCAUCAGGUUCCCCCCACCACACCCCAAUCUUGAGAUGAGAAGGCACUGAAUCCCAGGGAGGUGAACUGACUUGCUCUAGCCUGUGGCUGUGCAUCCACGUGGAGUCUUCUGAAAGGAAUUCUGCUUAGACCAGAUAAAUUCAAAUGUCUUUAUUCAAUAACCAACAAAAUACCCAGGGUUCCAGCUUCAGGCACAGCUGGAUCCAGGAACCCUGACAGUGUCCCUGGGUCCCACCUCUGGCCACUUCUUGAACUUGCCUUCCUGUUUUCAGCUCUGCUUUCUCCCAGAGCCUUCCAAAUCUCACUCUUCCCGGAGGCAAGAGAGCCUCUGGUUUUCCAGGCUAUUCCAUCACAGCUCUGAGUAAGCCAAAUGAAGAGAAAAUAAAGUGCCUCUCUCUCAGUGGUCCCUGUGCACCUUUUGGCUCUGAAUGGGGGACUACGUCCAUCCCUGACCUAACCCCUGGGGGGAAUGGAUGCUCUGAAUGAGCAGCUAGAGCAGACAGAAGUGGCCACAACGCCUGCAAAGGGAGUGGGAGAGGAGUGGUCCUCCAGAGGAAGUUUGGGCUGCCGCUGCAGAAGCAGGGAGAGUGGACACUGAUGGACCGGAAUGACACAGGGUCACCACCCCCAGACAGUAAGCGGCCGAGUAGGCCCUCAGCCCCAUGUCCUGUUAUCUCCCCUGGUCUUUCAUCUCUGCCACAGCCUCCAAGGCAGAGCUGCUGCCUCCACAGGUUCCCCCCACGGUGUUGACUUACAGGGUAGCAGAGGUGGAGGAGCUGGGGAGAGGGCGGUCUGAGGCUGGGAGCUCAGCCUGGUGGGGUCUGUCUUGCCCUGCUCUCCUCAAGGCUCGGAUUUGUCUGAGAGGGUGUGGGCAGGUGGCUCUGAUGGGGUGGUGACUCGAGGAAACAAAAGACAAGAAGCUCCCGGGUUCAGGACUUGGGAAAUGACUUCACAGCCAUUUACUGCCUUCCGUCCAGUAAAUGCGACUUGAGCGCAUACCACCUGCUCCUUUAUCUUCCCCUCCAGGCUGAGGAUCUGGUGUAGGAUAUCGCCUCCUCUUCCCGGGCCCCUCCAGAGCUCACUUUGAUGCUGACUUUAAUCCACUUUCAUGUGCAGGGCAUGUCGGGGUGGACAGCUCCCACCUGCCGUUUCCUUGGCCCCUGCUCUUCCCCGGACCUGUAGGGGGUCAGACCCUCUGGCGUUGCAGACACUCCCUGCCUGUUGCCUGGGCUCCCUGCCGGGUGCCCAUCCCCAGCCUCUCUCCUGCAGCCUCCUCCCCUUCCCAGCAAGCCCCUGGCAGCUCCCCGACUGCCAUCAGCUAGAAGCAGAACGAACUUGGUCUCUCGGCUUCCGCAGUGCCUGCCUGGAGCUCUUUGCUGGUACAGAGGUGAUGGCAUUGGUGAGAUGGGUCCAGGUCGUUUGCUUAUCAUCCAGAACAAACCAGAAAGAGCACGUGUGCUUCUGCCUCAUAAAGAAACAUCCAUAGGGAGUUCCUGGGGUAGCUCCGUGGGUUAAUGAACCCAGCUAGCAUCCAUGAGGACUUGGGUUCCAUUCCUAGCCUUGCUCAGUGGGUUAAGGGUCCAGCGUGGCCGUGAGCUAUAGUGUACGUCACAGAUGCGGCUUGGAUCCUGUGUUGCUGUGGCUGUGGUGUAGGCCGGCAGCUGUAGCUCCUAUUUGACCCCUAUCCUGGGACUCUCCAUAUGCCACAGGUGUGGCCCUAAAAAAAAAAAAAAAAAAAAAAAAAAA
rnacentral:lncRNA from 1 species